rnacentral:rRNA from 1 species
UCGGAACGAACUUCCGUUAAUUGAUUAUGACGUACUUGUACUGAUUGAGAUUUUAACACGAAGUGAGUGGCGAACGGGUGAGUAACACGUGGGUAACCUGCCCAGAAGUAGGGGAUAACACCUGGAAACAGAUGCUAAUACCGUAUAACAGAGAAAACCGCAUGGUUUUCUUUUAAAAGAUGGCUCUGCUAUCACUUCUGGAUGGACCCGCGGCGUAUUAGCUAGUUGGUGAGGUAAAGGCUCACCAAGGCAGUGAUACGUAGCCGACCUGAGAGGGUAAUCGGCCACAUUGGGACUGAGACACGGCCCAGACUCCUACGGGAGGCAGCAGUAGGGAAUCUUCCACAAUGGACGCAAGUCUGAUGGAGCAACGCCGCGUGAGUGAAGAAGGGUUUCGGCUCGUAAAGCUCUGUUGUUAAAGAAGAACGUGGGUAAGAGUAACUGUUUACCCAGUGACGGUAUUUAACCAGAAAGCCACGGCUAACUACGUGCCAGCAGCCGCGGUAAUACGUAGGUGGCAAGCGUUAUCCGGAUUUAUUGGGCGUAAAGCGAGCGCAGGCGGUCUUUUAAGUCUAAUGUGAAAGCCUUCGGCUCAACCGAAGAAGUGCAUUGGAAACUGGGAGACUUGAGUGCAGAAGAGGACAGUGGAACUCCAUGUGUAGCGGUGAAAUGCGUAGAUAUAUGGAAGAACACCAGUGGCGAAGGCGGCUGUCUGGUCUGCAACUGACGCUGAGGCUCGAAAGCAUGGGUAGCGAACAGGAUUAGAUACCCUGGUAGUCCAUGCCGUAAACGAUGAUUACUAAGUGUUGGAGGGUUUCCGCCCUUCAGUGCUGCAGCUAACGCAUUAAGUAAUCCGCCUGGGGGAGUACGACCGCAAGGUUGAAACUCAAAAGAAUUG